GUGCCAGCCGCCGCGGUAAUACAGAGGUCCCAAGCGUUGUUCGGAUUCACUGGGCGUAAAGGGUGCGUAGGUGGCUGGGAAAGUUCGGUGUGAAAGCUCGGAGCUCAACUCCGAAAUGGCACUGAAUACUAUCUGGCUUGAGGGUCGGAGGGGAGACUGGAAUUCUCGGUGUAGCAGUGAAAUGCGUAGAUAUCGAGAGGAACACCAGUGGCGAAGGCGAGUCUCUGGACGACUCCUGACACUGAGGCACGAAAGCUAGGGGAGCAAACAGGAUUAGAAACCCUGGUAGUCC
rnacentral:rRNA from 1 species